UUCAGAAGCGUGGGGCACAGAUUUGCAUCACUUUACUUCCAAUCAUGCCAACCACUUCCAAUUAUCAUCUACAGAUGUAAAGGCCCACAUUUUUUGGGGCUUGGGCUGGCCCGACACACAUGAAAUGGGAGGGAGACUCCCGAACAGAGUCUUCCCUCCCCUGUUUCUAUUGCUCCCAUGAAUCCACCGGAAGAGGAAACAAAGAAGGAAAAAAAAAAAAAAGAGAGAGAGAGGGGAUCAAAUCCUACCUUAUUUGAAUCAAUUUACAUCUAUAAAAACAAUCUCUUCCCCUCUUCCUUAGGGCAUCAACCGAGAGUCCUUCCACAAAAAAAAAAAAAAAGGGAGAAAAGAGGGAUUUGGAGUUCUAGGCGAUCCGUGGGAGAAGCUCGGGUUGCUCGCCGUUGGACCAGCCGGAAAGGCUCGUCGGAGGCAAGGAGAAUAAUCUAUUGGACGAGAGGACGCUGAGCAGAGUCCUGCGCAUUCCGGUUCAUAGAUCGCCGUGAGGGCGGGUGAUUAGUUGUCUGAGUUUUCAAUAAAGGAGUUGCAGGAUGCAUAGUUUUGGAUGGGAUGGGCGCAGAGUGCGAGUACCAGAGUCAUUAGUUAGUUAGUUGUUUAUCCUUCUUUGAUGUCGAUGAACAUUUGAAGAGCUCGUAAUUGAACUAAAUUGUUUAUUUGACAUGUCGGAUUUGUUUAUUUGAAUUAUUAAAUUAAUUGUGGAUUUA